rnacentral:rRNA from 1 species
GACGAACGCUGGCGGCGUGCUUAACACAUGCAAGUCGAACGAUGAAGCGGUGCUUGCACCGUGGAUUAGUGGCGAACGGGUGAGUAAUACGUGAGUGACCUACCUUUGACUCUGGGAUAAGCCUGGGAAACUGGGUCUAAUACCGGAUACGACCAAUCUCUGCAUGGGGUGUUGGUGGAAAGCGUUAUGAGUGGUUUUAGAUGGGCUCACGGCCUAUCAGCUUGUUGGUGAGGUAAUGGCUUACCAAGGCGACGACGGGUAGCCGGCCUGAGAGGGUGACCGGCCACACUGGGACUGAGACACGGCCCAGACUCCUACGGGAGGCAGCAGUGGGGAAUAUUGCACAAUGGGCGCAAGCCUGAUGCAGCGACGCCGCGUGAGGGAUGACGGCCUUCGGGUUGUAAACCUCUGUUAGCAUCGAAGAAGCGAAAGUGACGGUAGGUGCAGAGAAAGCGCCGGCUAACUACGUG